CCUGAGCAAAAGCUGUGGCCUGU
rnacentral:piRNA from 1 species